AUUGAACGCUGGCGGCAUGCCUUACACAUGCAAGUCGAACGGCAGCACGGGAGCAAUCCUGGUGGCGAGUGGCGAACGGGUGAGUAAUAUAUCGGAACGUGCCCAGUCGUGGGGAUAACGUAGCGAAAGCUACGCUAAUACCGCAUACGAUCUAUGGAUGAAAGCGGGGGAUCGCAAGACCUCGCGCGAUUGGAGCGGCCGAUAUCAGAUUAGGUAGUUGGUGAGGUAAAGGCUCACCAAGCCGACGAUCUGUAGCUGGUCUGAGAGGACGACCAGCCACACUGGGACUGAGACACGGCCCAGACUCCUACGGGAGGCAGCAGUGGGGAAUUUUGGACAAUGGGCGAAAGCCUGAUCCAGCAAUGCCGCGUGCCAGGAAGAAGGCCUCGG
rnacentral:rRNA from 1 species